GGAAACGGCCAUACUCAGUAGAAUAAACCCGAUGUCGGAAUUUAAGCAACUGCAGCUCAGGCCGGGCGAGAACUUGGAUGGGUGUCCACUAGGGAAUUCCCGGUACCUUAUCCU
rnacentral:rRNA from 1 species